UAAAACUUAAGGAACGUGGAAUAAUAAACGUAAAGAGAAACAAUCUUAAGGAAUGAGAUUGCUAAAUCGUGAUUUAGAUUUCAGGAGUUUGUCGCUCCAACACCUUAAUAAGACCUGACGUCUCUUCUGAUUGGCUGAUAGAUGAUGUUAGUGCCAUGGCUGAAUUACAAAUACAUCUUAUGUAACCGUUUACAUCCGUUGCUGCCAUUUAGAAUCAGUGCAUUCUCACUGAUUCUAAAGAGAAAUAAAACCUUAAGAAGUGAGAACGCUGAAUGCAUUCUCAUAAAAAAAAAAAACACAGAUCUGCACAAGAACAACAGCAUCAAACACAACGAUGAAAACAAACUCGAGUGAAGUUGACCCCACGCCUUCAAAUCUAAUGGUUGACCUUUGGACCUUUAAACUUUCAUUAAUCUCUUCAAAGCAAAAGCAGCACAAACAAAAAAAAAUUGCUGCACACACUUAGUUGAGUUAACUGACACCAAUAUUGUCUGAGUUGAAGGAAAUGGGGAACUGGUUGACCUUACAUGACCUCUGGGAACUUUUAUUAUAUAUCUUUAAAAUUAUAGCGGCAGAAAUUUUCAUAUUUGCUGCACAAAUGUUUGACAGCAAUUCUGUUAGAUUUGAAGAAAAUGGAGGCACCAAAUUCACUCAGGUCAUACUAUGG